UGGACGGUUACAGUUUUGACAUCGAUGUGGCUGCAUCUUUCUUCCGGAGUGGUAAUACCUGUACCACUUUGAGUCGACGACCAUCCGGCUCAAGCUCAUCAACCGGCGCCCGAUCAAGCGCAGUUCCAUCCCAUCCAGAGCCUUUAAGAGACAGUUCUAUUAGAAAUCGGGAGAACCUGGUGGUCUCAAACCGAGAAAUUCGACAGUUGUUCGACACAAUCAAAGAACUGGGGGAUAUAGUAAAGCUUCAAAAUGCCAAACUAGACAGGCUGAGGUGAAGACCGAACUACAGACUGUGCGACACAAACUCGAUCGCGAACCUUAGCCGACCGAGAAGGAGAAUAUCUACCGUGGGCCUGUUCUAAAGCAACUAAAGGGUGAUGUGCACUUGUUGCACAACAAACAAGAAGUUGAACUUAAGUUUUGUGGAAGUGAAGGCAUUGACAGUGCCCACAACAGUGCUGUUUGAGGAUUUCUUUGUAAGGAAGUGGGAAAGGAAAACAAUGGCUAUGAAAAGUCAACUAUCAAGCGU